CUGACAACGGAGCAAAUUCUCAUAGUUGUGUCGGCAGAAGCUGUUUUCACAGAGAACUCCUCGGCGUACUGCGACCCCAUUUUCACACCAUUGCAUGCAAUGAAAUACAAUGCAUUAAUGCAAUGCAAAUCAAAAUCAAGGUGGCGACACGAGUUCUUCAGGACCCGCAGAGUCAACAUUGAGGGUGUCAAAUGGAGAGGAUGAGGAUGAGAGGUGGGAUGACGCCGCUUAAUAAGCGCAGGCGCCUGAGAGGCAGGAGCCUAUCCCAGCUGACUUCCGAGGAAAGGCACACUACACUGUGGAUUGGCCGCCAGUCAAUCGCAAGGACACAGAAAGAGACCAACAACUUUCACCUUCGUAGUGAGUAGGAAAUGAACCCAUGCUGUCUGCAUGGAAGAUAGGCAAGUGAACCUU